UACGGGGGGAGCAAGCGUUGUUCGGAUUUACUGGGCGUAAAGGGCGCGUAGGCGGCCGUCCAAGUCGGGUGUGAAAUCCCUCGGCUCAACCGAGGAACUGCACUCGAUACUGGUCGGCUAGAGUCCGGGAGGGGAUGGUGGAAUUCCCAGUGUAGCGGUGAAAUGCGUAGAUAUUGGGAAGAACACCGGUGGCGAAGGCGGCCAUCUGGACCGGAACUGACGCUGAGGCGCGAAAGCCAGGGGAGCGAAUGGG
rnacentral:rRNA from 1 species